UCCCCCUCCUGUCCCUCUCUCUACCCCUCUUUCCUCCUCCCCGUAUUCCUCUUCUUUCUCUCUUUCCCGCAUUUCCCCCUCUCCCCAAAGCAGCUCCGUUCCCUCCCUUUCCCGCUACCCUUCCUUCCUCUUCCCCGUAUUCCUGUUCUUUGACCCCCAGACCGUCCCCUCCUCUCCCUCCCAAACCCGACCUCCCACUGCCCUCACUCCGUCCUGUCCCUGCCCCGCUACUCCGUUCUGUCCCUGCCCCGCUACUCCGUUCUAUUCCCCCUCUCUCCCUCCUCUGUCCACCGUCCCUCUUCCUUCCCUGCCGGCCUUUUCCUUCCCUUCCCGCUUUCCUCCACAGCCCGACCUCCCUCCCACCCUUCCGCAUGCCCCGCUCUCCCUCCUCUCUUCCCGUCGCCCUUCGCUUCUUUCCCCCGCAGCCGCGGGGCUCGGGGCGCGGAGAAUAAAGCCCCGAGGGCCGGAGCCCGGCGCCCCCCGGCCCUUGCGGGAGUCCCCGCACGGGACCGGAGGCUCUCGGCGGAUCCCCCCGCGCCGCUCGGACACCGCCCGGCGCUGCCGGACCUGCGGCUCCGCCACCAUCGCGCUGAGAGCGGCCCCGCUCUGCGCCGUGCCGGCCGUGCCGCGUCCCCGCCGCCUCUGCCGCUCCCAAUUUCUGCCCCUGGCCUGCGACAGCGAGGCGGGGCGGGGGCUUCAAGCCUUCUGGGGGCUGCCCCCCCUUUCCUUUUGCGGCAGAGUCCCUUUCGGGGGGGAUGGAGGUGUGGAAAGGGCUGGAAGGGAGUGCUGGGCUGCUGUCCAGGGCAGUUGGACUCGUUCUGUGCCUUCUUUGGGGGUUUUUAUCUCGUGCUGAACCAAGCAAGUGCCCUGAAACCAUCGGAGCAGCUGCAGGGGCUGAAGGGAACAGGAAGGGCUCUCCGGCACCUUUUGCCUCCGUUCUCUGCCAUUCUCCGUCGCAGUCCCGGAAGAGGCGUCUGUCAUGCAGCCUGCCAAAAUGAAGACCUGUAA
ensembl:lncRNA